AGAGUUUGAUCCUGGCUCAGAACGAACGCUGGCGGCAUGCCUAACACAUGCAAGUCGAACGAGACCUUCGGGUCUAGUGGCGCACGGGUGCGUAACGCGUGGGAACCUGCCUUUAGGUUCGGGAUAACAGUUAGAAAUGACUGCUAAUACCGGAUGAUGUCUUCGGACCAAAGAUUUAUCGCCUUUAGAUGGGCCCGCGUUGGAUUAGCUAGUUGGUGGGGUAAAGGCCUACCAAGGCGACGAUCCAUAGCUGGUCUGAGAGGAUGAUCAGCCACACUGGGACUGAGACACGGCCCAGACUCCUACGGGAGGCAGCAGUGGGGAAUAUUGGACAAUGGGCGAAAGCCUGAUCCAGCAAUGCCGCGUGAGUGAUGAAGGCCUUAGGGUUGUAAAGCUCUUUUACCUGGGAUGAUAAUGACAGUACCUGGAGAAUAAGCUCCGGCUAACUCCGUGCCAGCAGCCGCGGUAACACGGAGGGAGCUAGCGUUGUUCGGAAUUACUGGGCGUAAAGCGCACGUAGGCGGC
rnacentral:rRNA from 1 species